CGGAAUGUGAGUACCUUACCAAGCUGCCUACCAAGAUGUGGAGAUUAGUCAACUUGCGGCACCUAGAUAUAGUUAAAACAAAAUUGGAAGAGAUGCCACUGCAUAUGGGUAAAUUAAGAAAUCUCCGGAGUUUAACUACUUUUGUUGUGAGCAAACAUAAUAGGUCUAAUAUUAAAGAGUUGGGGGAACUUCUACAUCUUUCUGGAGCAUUGUCUAUAUUAAAUUUGCAAAAUGUUCAACAUGCUAGAGAUGCAAUGGAGGUUAAUUUGAAGGAUAAGCAACACCUAUAUAAAUUGGUGCUUGAAUGGGGUCAUGACAAGGGCAGUUCAGAAAAUGAAAUAAAUGUGCUUGAACAUUUGUGUCCUCAUUCAAAACUCGAAUCUCUCACCAUUGAAAAUUAUGGGGGUACAAGAUUUCCAAAAUGGUUACAAGAUUGUUCAUUCUCUAAUAUGGUGUACAUACGGCUUGCCAAUUGUAAGUAUUGCUACUCCUGGCCUCCACUUGGGGAUCUGCCUAACCUCAAGAAACUCUUUGUUGAAGGUUUUCAUGUGGUAUCACAUGUGGAUCGUGAGUUCUACGGGGGUGGUUCUUCUGCAGUUAAGCCAUUUAGAUCGCUUGAAAUAUUAAGCUUUAAAGACAUGCCAGAGUGGCAGGAAUGGUUUUUAUUUGAAGGCAAAGAUGAAGAUGAAGGUGGUGUUUUCUAUAAUCUCCAAGAGCUUUGCAUAAUUAAAUGUCCUAAACUAAGCAGAGGUCUGCCCAACCACCUUCCUGCUUUAAUGGCACUUCAAAUUGAAGAUUGUCCGCAGCUUGUUGCUUCGGUUCCUAGAUCUCCGAAUCUCAGUAAAUUGCAGUUAAGUAAUUGUGAUGAGUUACUAUUGAAGGAAUUACCACCUAGGCUAUUAAAGCUAGAAGUUGGAGAAGGUCGUAUCCUACAAUCCUUUGUAGAGCUUAUGAUGUCUAUCCCAGGAGGUGGUCUACCCACUACAUUAAAAACACUUUCAAUUCAAGGAACAUUUCUGUUGCCAAGGAGGCAUUACUAUCCAUCACUUGAAGGAUUGGCAAUUAAAGGUGGUUCUGAUUCACUCUGGUGUUUUCCAUUGGAGUUCUACCCAAAGCUCAAACGUCUUUUUGUGUCUGGAAGUGAAAGUCUUGAAUCUCUUUCGGUAUCAGAGGGAUCUCACCGGGAUCUUAUUUCUCUCACUUUUUUGUAUAUCUUUGAUUGCCCAAAUUUUGUGUCCUUUCCUAAUGGAGGAUUGUGUGCCCCAAAUUUGACAGAGAUUCGUAUCGUCGAAUGUGAAAAGUUGAAGUCACUACCUGAAGGGAUGUGCACCCUUCUCCCAUCUCUUGAGUCUUUGACAUUGUUUGUAUGUCCAGAACUAGAGUCAUUUCCUGUGGGCGGUUUGCCCUCCAAUUUAGUUACCCUUGACAUUAAUGAAUGUGACAAACUCUUUUCCCGUCGCAUGGAGUGGGGUUUGCAAGGUCUUCACUCCCUCAAACAAUUCGAAAUUUGGAUUGGAAUCGAAAAAGUGGAGUCCUUUCCGGACGAGGCAUUGCUGCCUUCCACCCUUACCGAAUUUACCAUUGGAGGGUUUUCAAAUCUGAAAUCACUCAACUCUAAGGGAUUUCAACACCUCACCUCUCUUCAACGCUUGGAGAUUUGGAAUUGCUCUGGCCUCCGGUACUUAACAGAAGAGCGCUUGCCUGCUUCUCUUUCUUCUCUAAUUCUCAGAGAAUGCCCUCUUCUAAAACAACGGUGUCAAAGAGAUAAAGGGAAAGAUUGGCCUAAAAUUUCACACAUCCCUUUCAUACAGAUUGAAGAUGAAGUUAUAACAUGAGCUACGAGCUAUGAGUUGACAAGCACUUCCGUGCAAAGUGUCACUUUCAGACAAGUGCCUCACACAUGCACCCAGCAUUGAUUUUGUGCUACCAAGUGCUGCUGAUCCUCUUGCAUUGUAUAGACUAUGAAAUUUCUAUUUAUGUUUCAAGCAGCUGUAAAACAUCUUCUUUCUUUAUCAAAGAGUCCCUUGCUCUCACUUUUUCUGGAGUGCUCUUUCUUCAUUAUCCAAGAUCCAUACACCAAUUUCAAGUUUGGACUUUUGAAGUCAUGGACAAAGACUUUUGAGUAUAUUACUAAUCUCGGUGGCUAUUUAAUCUACGGUAUACAUUGGGGCAAUUUGAAGCUAUUUCUGCUUCAAUAUCUUCAAAUAGCAGCUAAUUCUUUUAUGCAAGGGAAUCUUUGGGAUGAAUGAUGCUGGUCACUAAAAAAAACUUCUUAUCUUGAGGAUUUUUGGUUAUUUGAAUCCUCUGCCCACAUUCCAACUGGAGGGAUCUGCAGCAUUAUUCAGCACCUUCAUUUUGAGUCCAAAUUCCUGGUGCUACAACAAGACAAAGGAAGAUUGAGGGAAUGGCAAGUCUCUGACUAUAAAGUGCGAUUGAGAAGUAUGGCUGCCUGUUUAAUGGACUUAACAAGUGGCAGAUGGAACCUAGUGCAGACUUGUAGCUACAAUUAUCAAAUUUUUGAGAUUGAAAAUCACUUCUCAGUCUUUGUGAGAGAUGCUCUUUUGAUUGUACAAUGCAGACGUAACAGACACAUCACAUGUGGGUGGAAGACAUCCCCUGUUGGUAUAUGUAAUCAUGAAGAAAUCAACUAAUGGAGUCUUUUCUGCUGGCAGUCCCUGCUUCGAAUAUUUAUCUCGUUUGUUGUCUCUAAUGGCAACUAUGUGGGCUUGCAAGUCUUGGAGCACAACAAAUCCAUGCUGGAUGGAUCAUGCAAUUAAAGGAGAUUAACAAGCUGCCUCUCUAUGAGCUUUGGGAAUUGAUGGUGGAAAGCAAGAUAUAAGUCCUCUCCAGAAUUUUGGUUCUUUCUUCUCUUCCACACUCCAGAGUGCUCAAAAGGCUCAGCAAAUCAAUGAUCUCGUUGACCUUGCAGUCCUCCCCAGAAGGGGCUGUCCAACUCCGUUCUUGCUAACAAGGAUUCUAAAUUGUCCUAUGCCGAGAUAGUGGAGCCAGAGGCAAAGAGGGGAAAACUGUCCCAAGAUAGCUCAGGUGCUCGUUCCAUGAAAGAUUGUCAUUCUUGAGGCUGUCAUGUCACCACCUGCAAUUACCAGUACAUGUUUUCAAACCAGAGGGUGUUCAGUGGUUGAUAGUGUUGUUCAAUUGAUUUGUGUUUUGUGUAUAAAAUCUGGACCUCCAAUCAUGAAUGACAUUUAUAUCUUAAUUGUUCUUCAGAUUUCCAAGCACGAUAUGUGCAACAUGCUGAGGCUUCCAACAAUUUGUACCUAAAAAUUACUUGAUAUCGUCCUAUUGAUGAAUACAGUAAUUAUAGGCUUGGUUUUAAGAUCUAGGUUGGUUUCUUCCAAACAACUUUGACAUUCUGCAAUAAAAAAUUCCAAACA